GGCAAGAAUGACCCAGAAGAGAAAGUGGCUGAAGUUGGGAACAUUACUCUCCAGCGAAAGGACUUCUGGACUUUGGGUCACAAUGAAGAGCUAGAGGCAACAAUUGCAAAUAGCUGCCUGCAAGCAAUCGCAUUGGUGGCUGAUGUACAGGUGGGUUGUAGUUAACAAACAGUUACACACAAACACACCAUAUUGCUUUUGUUAACUCUGAAUUGUGUGGAAUUUUGUAGGGGAAAGAUGUACUGGCAGUUGAUGCAUAUGUUGUGGUUACGUGGCUACCACCACUUAAUCAAGAUCCUUUUUUAUCAUUUCCAAAUAAUAUUGCGCUCAAGAAUUAUCUGCUUUUUCCUGCUAGGAAGCCUGGUCAUUGGAUGCUGUGU